GUGGGGAAUAUUGGACAAUGGGCGAAAGCCUGAUCCAGCCAUGCCGCGUGAGUGAUGAAGGCCUUAGGGUUGUAAAGCUCUUUCAGUAGGGAAGAUAAUGACGGUACCUACAGAAGAAGCCCCGGCUAACUUCGUGCCAGCAGCCGCGGUAAUACGAAGGGGGCUAGCGUUGUUCGGAUUUACUGGGCGUAAAGCGCACGUAGGCGGAUUGGUCAGUUAGAGGUGAAAUCCUGGAGCUCAACUCCAGAACUGCCUUUAAUACUGCCAGUCUAGAGUCCAGAAGAGGUGAGUGGAACUCCCAGUGUAGAGGUGGAAUUCGUAGAUAUUAGGAAGAACACCAGUGGCGAAGGCGGCUCACUGGUCUGGUACUGACGCUGAGGUGCGAAAGCGUGGGGAGCAAACAGGAUUAGAAACCCUUGUAGUCC
rnacentral:rRNA from 1 species